ensembl:lncRNA
GUGAGAGGUGAGUGGACAUGGGUUGGGUGAUGUGAGAGUUACAUGGGCAUGGUUGGGUGACAUGAGUGGUGCAUGAACAUGGGUUGGUUGAUGUGAGAGGUGCAUGGACAUGGUUGGGUGAUGUGAGAGGUGCACGGACAUGGACAUGGGUGGGUGAUCUGAGAGGUGCAUGGACAUGGGUUGGGUGAUGUGAGAGGUGCAUGGACAAGGACAUGGGCUGGGUGAUGUGAGAGUUACAUGGGCAUGGUUGGGUGACAUGAGUGGUGCAUGAACAUGGGUUGGGUGAUGUGAGAGGUGCAUGGACAUGGACAUGGGCUGGGUGACGUGAGAGGCAAAUGGACAGGGAAAUUGUUGGGUGACAUGAGUGGUGCAUGAACAUGGGCUGGGUGUUUUGAGAGGUGCAUGGACAUGGACGGGUUUGUGAGAGGUGCAUGGACAUGGACAUGGGUUGGGUGAUGUGAGAGGUGCAUGGACAUGGUCAUGGACUGGGUGUUUUGAGAGGUGCAUGGACAUGGACGGGUUUUGUGAGAGGUGCAUGGACAUGGACAUGGGUCUGGUGACAUGAGAGGUGUAUGGACAUGGGUUGGGUGAUGUGAGAG